UACGGGGGGGGGCAAGCGUUGUUUCGGAAUUACUGGGCGUAAAGGGCUCGUAGGCGGCCAACUAAGUCAGACGUGAAAUCCCCAGGCUCAACCUGGGAACUGCGUCUGAUACUGGAUGGCUUGAAUCCGGGAGAGGGAUGCAGAAUUCCAGGUGUAGCGGUGAAAUGCGUAGAUAUCUGGAGGAAUACCGGUGGCGAAGGCGGCAUCCUGGACCGGCAUUGACGCUGAGGCGCGAAAGCUAGGGGAGCAAAGC
rnacentral:rRNA from 1 species